rnacentral:rRNA from 1 species
AGUGAACGCUGGCGGCAGGCCUAACACAUGCAAGUCGAGCGGCAGCGCGGGGCAACCUGGCGGCGAGCGGCGGACGGGUGAGGAAUGCAUCGGAAUCUACCCUGUCGUGGGGGAUAACGUAGGGAAACUUACGCUAAUACCGCAUACGACCGAGAGGUGAAAGUGGGGGACCGCAAGGCCUCACGCGAUUGGAUGCGCCGAUGCGGGAUGAGCUAGUUGGUAGGGUAAAGGCCUACCAAGGCAACGAUCCGUAGCUGGUCUGCGAGGAUGAUCAGCCAGACUGGGACUGAGACACGGCCCAGACUCCUACCGGAGGCAGCAGUGGGGAAUAGUGGACAAUGGGCGCAAGCCUGAGCCAGCCAUGCCGCGUGUGUGAAGAAGGCCUUCGGGU